rnacentral:rRNA from 1 species
AUUGAACGCUGGCGGCAUGCCUUACACAUGCAAGUCGAACGGCAUCGCGGGAAAGCUUGCUUUCCUGGCGGCGAGUAGCGAACGGGUGAGUAACACAUCGGAACGUACCGGCUAGUGGGGGAUAACCCGUCGAAAGACGGGCUAAUACCGCAUACGCUCUUCGGAGGAAAGCAGGGGACCUUUGGGCCUUGCGCUAGCCGAGCGGCCGAUGUCCGAUUAGCUAGUUGGUGGGGUAAAGGCCUACCAAGGCGACGAUCGGUAGCGGGUCUGAGAGGACGAUCCGCCACACUGGGACUGAGACACGGCCCAGACUCCUACGGGAGGCAGCAGUGGGGAAUCUUGGACAAUGGGGGCAACCCUGAUCCAGCAAUGCCGCGUGGGUGAAGAAGGCCUUCGGGUUGUAAAGCCCUUUCGGCAGGGAAGAAAUCGGCGGGGCGAAUAACCCUGCUGGAUGACGGUACCUGCAGAAGAAGCACCGGCUAACUACGUG